rnacentral:rRNA from 1 species
GCGAAAGCCUGAUCCAGCAAUACCGAGUGAGUGAUGAAGGCCUUAGGGUUGUAAAGCUCUUUUAGCAAGGAAGAUAAUGACGUUACUUGCAGAAAAAGCCCCGGCUAACUCCGUGCCAGCAGCCGCGGUAAGACGGAGGGGGCUAGCGUUGUUCGGAAUUACUGGGCGUAAAGAGUGCGUAGGCGGUUUAGUAAGUUGGAAGUGAAAGCCCGGGGCUUAACCUCGGAAUUGCUUUCAAAACUACUAAUCUAGAGUGUAGUAAGGG